GAGCACCCAAGAGCUUCUGAAGUCAUCAGGAUGCUGACCCUGUAUGGAGACCAUAGCAUGGCAAGUAAGUGGGGCACUUUACUUAGCAUACUCCUCCACUUCAGUCAGACUGGUCUAUGCACUGCCCUGGGGGCAGACCAUGCUCUUUCUGCCCUCUGAGUCUUUGCCUCAGUCACACACAUCUGCCAAGAUAUAAACUAUGGCUAAAUCAUUUGGUAUCUACAUGCCAACGAGGCUUCAAUAUCCUCUGUCUGCCUAUAUUUACAUGUAGAAUGAGUCCUAUAUUAUGGAUCCUACGCCUUCCUAGAAACUUGAAACAUUGAUAACAUUCUAAUAGCAACGGUGGUCAUAGGUUAUGUAAUAGCAACAGCGUUCAUAGGUUAUGUCCUUCCAUGGGGUCAAAUAUCUUCCUGGGAAACAGUAAUUACAAACCUGCUAUCAGCUAUUCUGUACAUUGGAACAGACCUAGUACAAUGGAUCUGAGGUGGCUUUUCAGUUGACAAAGCCACCCUUACAGGAUUCUUUCUUUUCCAUUUUAUUCUAUCUUUCAUUAUUACAGCCCUACUAGCUGUUCACCCCCUACUCCUACAUGAAACAGGUUCCAACAACCCUUUGGAAAUUUCAUUAGACUCUGAUAAAAUCCCAUUACACCCUUAUUGCAUGAUUAAAGAUAUUUUAGGCCUAGUCCUACUUGUCCUGCUCCUCCUAAUACUAGUGUAUUCUCACCUGACCUGCUAGGAGACCCAGACAACUACAUCCCAGCAACCCUCUCAACACUCCACCCCAUAUUAAGCCAGAAUAAUACUCCUUAUUUGCCUAUUCA
rnacentral:lncRNA from 1 species